UCAUUGGCGUGAUUUUUGGUUGGAUAGUAGUUAUAUGGUUAACUGGAUUGAAAUCCUCGUUCCACAUGUCCUGUGAAAUCAUGUUAUAUAUACUAGAGCACCUAAACGAGAUAUAUAGUUGUUUUGGUUAUGUGAAAGAUUUCCAUUUAUCACAUUGCUUUGCAAGUCUAGAACUUUAUUUUGCGUGCACGUAUGUCAGAAAAUUAGUAUGAAUUUUUAUUUUACUGAUAGUUAUUUGUACAAUUUAAGUCUUGAAAUUCUUUAUAAUUUGCAGGAAAAUUAACUUGUCCGGAGUAAAAAGAAUAUAUAAGCAAAUGAACCUUUAGAAAAGGUCACCUGAUAUUUUUAGGUAGUAAGAGCAUCAUUAACGGGCCUCUUACCCCGUCUCUUAGUUAUUAUUAAAAUUAAAAAAAAAAAAGACAAUUAUCUUAAAAGAUGUCUCUUAAUCAAGAGACAGAAGAGGCGACUCUUGUAGACACACGUCGUUCUCUCUUGCUUCCUCUGGAAUCUCUCGUCAGCUUCCCAGCAUCAGAUGAAUCGUCUUCUCUCUUCCUCACUUUUGAUUGAUAAUACUCAUGAUUGGAAGUACAAGCAGAGAGGCCCUUUGGGGUAUUGUAUGUUUCAAUUGAAUCAAUGCUCUCUCUGAUGUUUUCCUUGAAUCAAUAGAGAGGAGGAGGGAAGGAUAAAUGGAUAAUGGAGAAGAAGAGAAGCAGAGCACGGAGCGAAGAUCCUUCUUCUUCCGAGAGCGAAGAAAAAGUUAAGAGGAACAGAGAAAGAAGAUGAGAGGAGAAGUUAGAAGAAGGAAAAUAAAUCUCACAAGCACCACCGAUCAAGUUCAUGGUUUUGUUUUGGUGUGUAGUGAGCUAGAGAGCCAAAAUACGAUGUCGUUUACAGGAACGCCGCAGAAAUGCAGGGCGUGCGAGAAGACAGUGUACGCUAUGGAGCUUCUCUCAGCUGAUGGUGUCCCUUUUCAGAAGUCUUGCUUCAAGUGUUAUCACUGCAAAUCCACCCUUCAAGCUACACAAUUGAGGGGAACUAAGACAGUACGUUGGUCUUGUUGAAUUGUUUUUUGGUGAAUUGCAAAACUUUGAAGUUAGGUGAUAUGUAUAGCCUUUGUACGUUGAAUUAGAGAAAGGUUGUAUUAUCAGAAACUUGUAUAAAUGAUAUGGAUAAUAAAAGUGUAUUCACAAGAUCAAAUGUUCCUUUUCUAGUUC